UGAAGGGCCGCGGUAUUUUGACCGUGCAAAGGUAGCAUAAUCAUUAGUUCUUUAAUUGUGAUCUGGAAUGAAUGGCUUGACGAGACACGAGCUGUCUUAGGUUUGAAUAUUUUAUUGAACUUGGUUUUUGAGUUAAAAUUCUUAAAUGUUUUUAUGGGACGAGAAGACCCUAUAGAGUUUAACAUAUUGGUCUAUUUAUUUGUUUAGUUGUUCGUCUUAUUUUAGUGAGUGGUCCUAUUUGUUUUGUUGGGGUGAUGAGAGGAAUAUAGUUUAACUCCUCUUGGUUUUGGUUAUAUUGAUUUAUAUUUAUUUGAUCCAUUUAUUUUGAUUAUAAGAUUAAAUUACCU
rnacentral:rRNA from 1 species